rnacentral:misc_RNA from 1 species
GUCAUUGCAACCCUCAAGCACUGCUUGGUAUUGGGCUUCGUCCCCGCGACGGGCCUGGAACAUUGUGGCGGUCCAGCGAGACUUCAAGCGUAGCAAGAUUUUCAUCCCGCUUUGGAAGCUUUUCGCUGUGAGCCAGCCAAACAACCCUCAUAUUUUCAAUGGUUGACCUCGGAUCAGGUAGGGAUACCCGCUGAACUUAA